rnacentral:misc_RNA from 1 species
GGUGUUCAUUUCAUCAGGUUCGGCAUUGAACUAUUAUUGAUCUAAAUUCAGGCGUUUCAGCGACUAAUUUACGCUUCAAUUGUUCUUUGGUUAUGCCUCAUUUUAGCCUGUGACAGUGUUUUGCUCGCAGCAUUUUCAAUCCCAAUUGUGGUUAGGAUAUUUGGUUUAUCAGUUCCAAACUGGCUGAAACCAAAUCGUUCAAAUGGUGUAAGAUAAAAG